UACGGGGGAGCAAGCGUUGUUCGGAUUUACUGGGCGUAAAGGGCGCGUAGGCGGCCACCGCAAGUCGAUUGUGAAAUCUCCGGGCUUAACCCGGAAAGGUCAACCGGAUACUGGCGGGCUAGAGUGCAGGAAGGGGCAACUGGAAUUCUCGGGUGUAGCGGUGAAAUGCGUAGAUAUCGAGAGGAACACCUGCGGCGAAGGCGGGUUGCUGGGCUGACACUGACGCUGAUGCGCGAAAGCUAGGGGAGCGAACGGG
rnacentral:rRNA from 1 species